CUACUUUUUAGGGUUCCGUAGUCAACUAGGAACCCUUAUAGUUUCACCAUAUCCGUCUGUCCGAGGCUUUGCUCCGUGAUCUAUAGUGCUAGAAAGCUGCAGUUUGGCAUGGAUAUAUAAAUCAAUAAAACCGACAAAGUAGUACA